rnacentral:rRNA from 1 species
UAGAAAAAUUUACAGCGGCUACAUACCCCGCUCUCGAAUAUAGCUGGUUUCUUUAGAUUAUUAUCUCAGUAAAGCAAUUACAACUAAUAUGUUAAUAUAUAAAGGACAAGCUUUAUAUAGCAAGCCAUAGCCGCAUUAACUUAUAGCUAAUAGUAGGCUUAUAAGUAGCCACCAAAUUAUAGUGUCACAACUAAUCUUAAUAUAAGAAUAAUUAUUUAACCUAUGCAACAUAUAUAAAGAAAUUUAGACUAACUUCCUCUAAAAUUAUUCUGCUAAAAUUAGUAUCCAUUAAUUUAAAACAUAACCUCUUAAAAU